rnacentral:piRNA from 1 species
UAGUGGGAUUAACUCUCAGAUGUGUUCC